AAGAAUACAGUAAAGAAACACAUAGGAAAUACACAUAUGAAACACAGUAAAACAUGAUAAAGAUUAGUGAAAUUUUAAAGGACAAUUUGAUGAAACCCUAUAUUGGAAAAAGAUGAAGGUUCGAAAGGUGUAGUUUUAAAGAACUUUGAGAAAAAAUGCUUAACAGCUUAGAGAAAACACAAAUAUACCAUGGAUCUAAAGGAAUCGGAAAAACCUUGAAGGGUUAGGGUCUCAGAAGAACCCUAGUAAUGAGAAAGGCUUUGAAAAGUCACUUAUCUAAGUCGGAGAAGUCAAAAUCAGGCUAGAGCAACCAUGGUACACCGGGGCAAGGCCGAAGAUGGUUGUUGAACUCGAAUCAAACAAAGCCUGGACCAAACUUCAUCAUGUUCAGGCCUUAAAUAUUCAAAAACCAGGCAUGUAGGAGCAAUAUGAGAUGGGUAUAGGGCUUUCAUAACCUUGGAAGCCAUAGAUUCCAAUGGCUUUCAGGGCAAAAGUGGUGGGAGGUGGCUAGGUUUUGAGAGGCUUCGAGAGAGUUUGAGAGAAUGGGGGGUUCAGAGGCAGCUG
rnacentral:lncRNA from 1 species